rnacentral:rRNA from 1 species
AUGGACUCUCCAGAUCGCAUCCCCGCGGAGAGGUUCUCCCUGCAGGUCUGCGCCGACGAGGCCACCAAUGACCACUGGGGCGUGCUCGGCUGCCGCCAUGGGCGCGUCCUCGUCGUCAACUGGACGCGGUGUGAGCUCGUGGUGUUCGACCCCGUCUCCGGUGACCGCGGCAUCGUUCCGUUUCCGCCAGAUUUCGACAAUCACGCUUACAACACCAAUGGAGCUUUGAUCGGCGACCAGCAGCUCCGGUCCAGCGCAUUUCAGUUGGUCUUGGUAGGCUUUUCUGCCAAUGGCGGCGUAGGAGUUACUGCAGCCAGCGUCUACUCCUCGGAGACCGGUGAGUGGGGACAACUCAUUGCUGCAGCGAGACCAUGUGCUGUUGGCCAUCUCCCCUGCACACUCAUUGGCAAAAGGCUCUACUGGUGGCUCAUUGAGCGUGACCAUGGUAUACUGGAGUUCAAUUUGGAAACCAAGAGCCUAGCUGUGAUCACUAAGCCUUCCAUUGAGAACAUCCACAGCUGCCGGAGCCGGAUCAUCAGUGGGGAGGAUGGCGGUGUUGGACUCGUCGUAUUCUCGUACCAUAGCUUGCAAAUGUGGGACCGUAAGGUCAGUGAUCGGGGUGUCGCGACAUGGGUGCUGCGGAAGACAGUUGACAUGCGUGGCAAGCUUGCUCUGCCCUCUAACUUGGAGGCAGGGAAAUCGACUAUUCUGGGGUACACUGAGGAUGCGGAUGCGAUUAUUAUAUCGGUGCACACAUUCCCCUGGGUGCAGAAUGGCGAUGUUUAUGUCUUCCUGGUUCAGCUCGACUUAAUGCAGUGCAAGAAACUCCAUGGAAGCUUUAUGGAAAAUUUGUAUCACCCGUACGCAAAUUUCUACGCUGGCCCAACGGCGCUCAAACUUCUUGGUCGUCUAGACAGUGAAUGGGAUACUGCUGUACCACAAGCGUAA